rnacentral:rRNA from 1 species
GACAGAGGAUGCAAGCGUUAUCCGGAAUGAUUGGGCGUAAAGCGUCUGUAGGUGGCUUUUUAAGUCCGCCGUCAAAUCCCAGGGCUCAACCCUGGACAGGCGGUGGAAACUACCAAGCUGGAGUACGGUAGGGGAAGGAGUUCGAUUCGGAGCGGUGAAAUGCGUAGAGAUCGGAAAGAACACCAACGGCGAAAGCACUCUGCUGGGCCGACACUGACACUGAGAGACGAAAGCUAGGGGAGCGAAUGGG